UGAAAUGCUAGCUCCUGUAAGACACUG
rnacentral:piRNA from 1 species